rnacentral:rRNA from 1 species
CAAGUCCGAGCGAAUGGAUUAAGAAGCUUGCUCUUAUGAAGUUAGCGGCGGACGGGUGAGUAACACGUGGGUAACCUGCCCAUAAGACUGGGAUAACUCCGGGAAACCGGGGCUAAUACCGGAUAACAUUUUGAACCGCAUGGUUCGAAAUUGAAAGGCGGCUUCGGCUGUCACUUAUGGAUGGACCCGCGUCGCAUUAGCUAGUUGGUGAGGUAACGGCUCACCAAGGCAACGAUGCGUAGCCGACCUGAGAGGGUGAUCGGCCACACUGGGACUGAGACACGGCCCAGACUCCUACGGGAGGCAGCAGUAGGGAAUCUUCCGCAAUGGACGAAAGUCUGACGGAGCAACGCCGCGUGAGUGAUGAAGGCUUUCGGGUCGUAAAACUCUGUUGUUAGGGAAGAACAAGUGCUAGUUGAAUAAGCUGGCACCUUGACGGUACCUAACCAGAAAGCCACGGCUAACUACGUGCCAGCAGCCGCGGUAAUACGUAGGUGGCAAGCGUUAUCCGGAAUUAUUGGGCGUAAAGCGCGCGCAGGUGGUUUCUUAAGUCUGAUGUGAAAGCCCACGGCUCAACCGUGGAGGGUCAUUGGAAACUGGGAGACUUGAGUGCAGAAGAGGAAAGUGGAA